AUUAUUUCACAUCAGCUACAACCCAGACACAGCUACACCUGAAGCAGUGUCGGAUGCAUCCAUGGAACCCUCAGAUGGCAACAAAACCAGGCAUGACGACAUGAGCUCAGAACGGAACAGCUCACAACUUUGUGACGCUCUGGGGUGCAGAGACUAGCAGUGGGCUUCAUGCCUGCCUGGGAAGGACCAGUCUGAUGCAGUGUGAGG